CUAGCAUGGGAUAAGAUGACGAGACCAAAAAGUGAAAGGGGUAUGGGCUUUCGCGAUCUUCAGCUUUUUAAUCAAGCGCUUCUGGCGAAACAAGCUUGGCGUCUAUUAGUUUUCCCGGACUCUUUGUGUGCAAAGGUGAUGAAAGCUAAAUAUUAUCCUCAUGGGCACCUUAUUGAUAUGGUAUUCCCUCAAGUUACAUCCCUUACUUGGCAAGGAAUUAUGCAUGACCUCGAAUUGCUUUAAAAUGGCAUUAUUUGGAGAGUGGUCAAUGGGACUAGUAUAAAUAUUUGGAGGGAUAAUUGGAUCCCUAGGGAAUCUGGUCUUCAAAUUUGCGAAAAAAAGAACAGGACUAGAAUCAAAUGGGUGUCCGAGUUAUUUUUGAGUGGAUCUAGGAGUUGGGAUGAGAACCUGAUAAGGCAUCUAUUUUGUAUUCAUGAUGCGGAGGAGAUCCCAAAGUUGCGUACCCUUCAAGUGGGCGAGGGAGAUAUUAUUGCUUGGCACCAUGAGAAAAGUGGCUUGUUCUUGGUGAAGAGUGCGUAUAGACUGGCUCUGAAUAUUAAGGAACCGAGGAUUGAUUCUGGCAAUUCCAGUGACGCCAUAAACAGGGAUAGUAGGCUCUGGAAUAUUAUUUGGAAUGCUAAUGUCCCUUAGAAAAUUAGAAUUUUUGCCUGGAGGGCUGCUUCUAAUAGUUUGGCAGUUCAACUCAAUAGGGUUAAACAUCAUCAAGCUACUCUAGGUACAUGCUUCAUAUGUGGUAUUGACGAUGAGGGUAUUUAUCACGCAUUGGUGGUUUAUCCCAAGGCUCGUGCGUUUCGUAUGGCAUUGAAGGAAGUGUGGAAAUUACCGGCGGAGGAGACCUUCAAAUAUUCUGGACCGGACUGGUUCCUUACUUUAUUGGACCAGUUAACUUCGCAUGUAUGCGAGCAAACUAUAUUCAUGUUCUGGAGAGCUUGUCACUUGAGGAAUGAUUUGAUCUCUGGUAGGGGAAUGGAAUCCAUCUCAGCCUCGGUGAGUUUUGUCAAAAAUUAUUGGGCAUCUUUCUCGUCUUGUCACGCUAAAAUGUAG
rnacentral:rRNA from 1 species